CUGGUUUCUUUUGUGUGUCAGUCUUGAAAAUAAAACACUUUUCGUUUCAUCCUUUACUCCAGUCAUUCUACUCCAGGUUUGCACAACAAGUGGAAUGACAGUGGGGCAUACCUAAAAAAAUAGUUUCUGUUCUAGCAUUAAAAAUGUUACUCUUUAGCUCACGAUCUUAGGAAGGCACAUUAUUCUAAAAGAACAAACUCAUUUAAGAUGCUGACACUACAGUACACUAAAGAUAGAUAAUAAAACAAAGUUAAAUCAAUAAUAGCUGAUAUUCAGUAGAAAUGUGUCUAAAUUAAGC